UCCCUCCCGGGGUCAUGCCCGGAGAGUUUCCCGUGCUCUACCAGUCUCGACUACCGGAGGGAGAGUCAAGCAGAGGCCUGCCCAUUCCAUUCCUAGCUUGGCCAGUGGCUAGCGAGUGGAAGGCCAUCUGCUACGAGC